rnacentral:misc_RNA from 2 species
AAGUCGUAACAAGGUUUCCGUAGGUGAACCUGCGGAAGGAUCAUUACAAAUCAGUAGCUUGCUACUGCGCUGGGGGAGACGGGAAAGUCCUGGCUGAAAAGCCGGUGUACCGGUACCUACACCCCUAUCAUACCCUUGUCUUUUGAGUACUUAUGUUUCCUUGGUAGGCUUGCCUGCCAAUAGGACAAACUUUUAAACCUUUGUAAAUAUCAAUCAGCGUCUGCAAAAUAAUUAAUAAUUACAACUUUCAACAACGGAUCUCUUGGUUCUG